UACGGAGGGUGCAAGCGUUAUCCGGAUUUACUGGGUUUAAAGGGUGCGUAGGUGGGUCUGUAAGUCAGUGGUGAAAUCUCCGAGCUUAACUCGGAAACUGCCAUUGAUACUAUAGAUCUUGAAUUAUCUGGAGGUAAGCGGAAUAUGUCAUGUAGCGGUGAAAUGCUUAGAUAUGACAUAGAACACCAAUUGCGAAGGCAGCUUACUACGGAUCGAUUGACACUGAGGCACGAAAGCGUGGGGAGCAAACAGG
rnacentral:rRNA from 1 species